CUUGACUCUAUAUAAAUCAAAUAUUAACAUGUAAAAUAGGAUGCAAAUGCACGCUGGUGAGAUUAAUCAGCUGACCAAAUGAUACUACGUGCAUGCUGAUUACUAUCAGUUACUAGUGUCGCAUGCCUGACUCCAGUCAGUCACGUUAUCGACGUAUUGUUCCGCUUUGUGAUGAAACACUACACUUAAACUAAGUACUGCGGUACGUUCGUCGAGACCCGCCGCAAACUCCUUCCACGCACGAUCAAGACGACCCGCCACCGCACGAAUAUGUCCAGCUGCAUAAUGCUGCGUUUCUAGCAAUCUACCAGCCAUCAUUCUUGGCCAACUGAUACGAGCGGCCAAUCUCGACGUAACUGGCGAGGAAUGCCUCCCGAUUGUGGCAAAUCCAGUCAAACAUCUUUUCGCAGUCCUGUUCGAACAAUCGUAGCUGAAAACACUGGUCCAGUUU